rnacentral:rRNA from 1 species
GACGAACGCUGGCGGCGUGGAUUAGGCAUGCAAGUCGAACGGUAUCAUCCUUUCGGGGGUGAGAGAGUGGCGAACUGGUGAGUAACACGUAGGUUAUCUACCCUCAAGACGGGGACAACCCAGGGAAACUUGGGCUAAUACCGGAUGUGAGCAACUUUUAGUUGUUUGAAAGGUGGCGUAAGCUGUCGCUUGGGGAUGAGCCUGCGUCCUAUUAGUUAGUUGGUGAGGUAACGGCUCACCUAGACAAUGAUAGGUAGGCGGCCUUAACGGGUGGUCGCCCACACUGGGAUUGAGAUACGGCCCAGACUCCUACGGGAGGCAGCAGUCGAGAAUAGUCUACAAUGGUCGGAAGACUGAUAGUGCGACGCCGCGUGAACGAUGAAUCCCUUCGGGGUGUAAAGUUCUUUUAUAUGUGAGCAGUGCUUCUUAUAUUAACAGUAUGGGGAGAGAGAUAUUAGCAUAUGAAUAAGCAACGGCUAACUCCGUGCCAGCAGCCGCGGU